rnacentral:rRNA from 1 species
ACGAACGCUGGCGGCAGGCUUAACACAUGCAAGUCGAACGCCCCGCAAGGGGAGUGGCAGACGGGUGAGUAACGCGUGGGAAUCUACCCAGUUCUACGGAACAACACAGGGAAACUUGUGCUAAUACCGUAUACGCCCUACGGGGGAAAGAUUUAUCGGAAUUGGAUGAGCCCGCGUAAGAUUAGCUAGUUGGUGGGGUAAUGGCCUACCAAGGCGACGAUCUUUAGCUGGUCUGAGAGGAUGAUCAGCCACACUGGGACUGAGACACGGCCCAGACUCCUACGGGAGGCAGCAGUGGGGAAUAUUGGACAAUGGGCGCAAGCCUGAUCCAGCCAUGCCGCGUGAGUGAUGAAGGCCUUAGGGUUGUAAAGCUCUUUCAGUGGGGACGAUAAUGACGGUACCCACAGAAGAAGCCCCGGCUAACUUCGU